rnacentral:rRNA from 1 species
CCGGUAAACGGCGGCCGUAACUAUAACGGUCCUAAGGUAGCGAAAUUCCUUGUCGGGUAAGUUCCGACCUGCACGAAUGGCGUAAUGAUGGCCAGGCUGUCUCCACCCGAGACUCAGUGAAAUUGAACUCGCUGUGAAGAUGCAGUGUACCCGCGGCAAGACGGAAAGACCCCGUGAACCUUUACUAUAGCUUGACACUGAACAUUGAGCCUUGAUGUGUAGGAUAGGUGGGAGGCUUUGAAGUGUGGACGCCAGUCUGCAUGGAGCCGACCUUGAAAUACCACCCUUUAAUGUUUGAUGUUCUAACGUUGACCCGUAAUCCGGGUUGCGGACAGUGUCUGGUGGGUAGUUUGACUGGGGCGGUCUCCUCCUAAAGAGUAACGGAGGAGCACGAAGGUUGGCUAAUCCUGGUCGGACAUCAGGAGGUUAGUGCAAUGGCAUAAGCCAGCUUGACUGCGAGCGUGACGGCGCGAGCAGGUGCGAAAGCAGGUCAUAGUGAUCCGGUGGUUCUGAAUGGAAGGGCCAUCGCUCAACGGAUAAAAGGUACUCCGGGGAUAACAGGCUGAUACCGCCCAAGAGUUCAUAUCGACGGCGGUGUUUGGCACCUCGAUGUCGGCUCAUCACAUCCUGGGGCUGAAGUAGGUCCCAAGGGUAUGGCUGUUCGCCAUUUAAAGUGGUACGCGAGCUGGGUUUAGAACGUCGUGAGACAGUUCGGUCCCUAUCUGCCGUGGGCGCUGGAGAACUGAGGGGGGCUGCUCCUAGUACGAGAGGACCGGAGUGGACGCAUCACUGGUGUUCGGGUUGUCAUGCCAAUGGCACUGCCCGGUAGCUAAAUGCGGAAGAGAUAAGUGCUGAAAGCAUCUAAGCACGAAACUUGCCCCGAGAUGAGUUCUCCCUGACUCCUUGAGAGUCCUGAAGGAACGUUGAAGACGACGACGUUGAUAGGCCGGGUGUGUAAGCGCAGCGAUGCGUUGAGCUAACCGGUACUAAUGAACCGUGAGGCUUAACCUUACAACGCCGAAG